rnacentral:rRNA from 1 species
GUAACCUGCCUUAUAGUGGGGGAGUAGCCUUUCGAAAGGAAGAUUAAUACCGCAUAAGAUUGUAGUAUCGCAUGAUAUAGCAAUUAAAGGAGCAAUUCGCUAUAAGAUGGACCCGCGUCGCAUUAGCUAGUUGGUGAGGUAAUGGCUCACCAAGGCGACGAUGCGUAGCCGACCUGAGAGGGUGAUCGGCCACAUUGGGACUGAGACACGGCCCAGACUCCUACGGGAGGCAGCAUG